rnacentral:rRNA from 1 species
CCUACGGGAGACAGCAGUCGAGAAUCAUUCACAAUGGGGGAAACCCUGAUGGUGCGACGCCGCGUGGGGGAAUGAAGGUCUUCGGAUUGUAAACCCCUGUUAUGUGGGAGCAAAUUAAAAAGAUAGUACCACAAGAGGAAGAGACGGCUAACUCUGUGCCAGCAGCCGCGGUAAUACAGAGGUCUCAAGCGUUGUUCGGAAUCACUGGGCGUAAGGCGUGCGUAGGCUGUUUCGUAAGUCGUGUGUGAAAGGCGCGGGCUCAACCCGCGGACGGCACAUGAUACUGCGAGACUAGAGUAAUGGAGGAGGAACCGGAAUUCUCGGUGUAGCAGUGAAAUGCGUAGAUAUCGAGAGGAACACUCGUGGCGAAGGCGGGUUCCUGGACAUUAACUGACGCUGAGGCACGAAGGCCAGGGGAGCGAAAGGGAUUAGAUACCCUGGUAGUC